rnacentral:misc_RNA from 1 species
GAUGAAGAACGCAGCGAAAUGCGAUAAGUAAUGUGAAUUGCAGAAUUCAGUGAAUCAUCGAAUCUUUGAACGCACAUUGCGCCCGCCAGUAUUCUGGCGGGCAUGCCUGUUCGAGCGUCAUUUCAACCAUCAAGCCCCCGGGCUUGUGUUGGGGACCUGCGGCUGCCGCAGGCCCUGAAAACCAGUGGCGGGCUCGCUAGUCACUCCGAGCGUAGUAGUUACAUCUCGCUCAGGGCGUGCUGCGGGUUCCGGCCGUUAAAAGCCUUUUAACCCAAGGUUGACCUCGGAUCAGGUAGGAAGACCCGCUGAACUUAAGCAUAUCAAUAAGCGGAGGA